rnacentral:rRNA from 1 species
CGCGUAGGCGGCCCUGCGUGUCUUCCGUGAAAUCCCUCGGCUCAACUGAGGACGUGCGGAAGAAACUGCGGGGCUUGAGUCCGGGAGAGGGGGUGGAAUUCCCAGUGUAGCGGUGAAAUGCGUAGAUAUUGGGAGGAACACCGGUGGCGAAGGCGGCCCCCUGGACCGGUACUGACGCUGAGGCGCGAAAGCGUGGGGAGCAAACGGGAUUAGAUACCCCGGUAGUCCACGCCGUAAACGAUGGGCACUUGGUGUCGCGGGUAUCGACCCCUGCGGUGCCGAAGCUAACGCAUUAAGUGCCCCGCCUGGGGAGUACGGUCGCAAGGCUGAA